CUCUAGAAAGUAAUCUAUCAGAUUGAUGCUGGGAUUCAUCUUCAUCUCCUGACCAAUCUCCCUCCCCUCUUUCCGAAGGGAUGGCCUAUAAGCAAAUGGAGAAGCUGUCAUCUGCCUCCAUCUCAAACUCAGUUAGGUUCCAGGGAUGAUCGCUCCAGGAAUGCUCCCAACUGGAAGGACAGCAGGAAGGACACACCCAGAAGUCUGAACUGUGUGACUGAUUACAGAAGAAGAGGAAGAAGUGAUCUUAGAACCGUUGCCUUCAGGCAUCUCUCUCACAGGUAAAUACUGAAAAGGCAAAAAACUAGAUAACCUUGAUUGAAACUAUCAGUGGAGUUAUAGCAAUAGUGACCUGACUGAACGCAGAGCUAUCAAAACUGGAGAAGGAAACCUCCUGCAGUCCAGAAGAGCUGCAAAAGAUUUGCAUCGCCCUGCCUGAACAGUUGGAGGUAUGACCUAACCAGCUUGGAUGACAAGUUCCACUGAAGGAGAAAAACAAGGUUUCACGAUCAACAGAACACUCCUGUCAUAUUUACACAGGAACCUUUCCAGCUUCUUUUCAAAAGGCAAGUGGAAUUUAAAGCUAGUCUACACAGGUUGAUGGAUUUGUAAUAAAUCCUUUUCUAUUAGAUAUGUUUACACACAUUGUUAAAUGUUUCUUACAUGUUCUAACAUAAGAAUUUACCUGAUUUUUCAUCAUAAGAGUCAUAGCAAAAUAUAUCUUCUCAUGUGUAAUACCUUCAUAAAAUAUUUGGUGUUAAACAUUUCUCUGUUAUCCUAAUAUCCUUCUUGGCUUUUAAAUAAUCCAUUUGUCAUUGCGUAGAAGUGAUAACAUUUCAUGCAAUAUUACUGGAUGCAAUAUGACUACAAGAAAGGGAGUAUACACAUCAGGAAUUUAUUUAAAAUAUUUUAUACUGCUUUCCAGUUAAAGAAGUUACAAAAAUUAAAACUCAAACACACUUGGUAUUUCAUCAAACAUUAUCACAAUCAGCUGGAUGAAAUAUUCUUAGAGGAAACAAUCCUUAAUUACUGAGAAACAUAUUGAAAAACAAACUUGUUUUGGCAGAGUCUAAAAGAGAGGCAACCAAAUUCAUUAAAAAAAUUUUUUUACC